rnacentral:lncRNA from 1 species
CUGAGCUGGAGCGCCUCAGCUGGGACAGUGAGAUCUACCGUGGAGAAUCCGCAUCCAUUCCUGACGUCUGGAGCCUCACUAGGGCCAGAACAGACAUAUGGUACCUUAAACUUACAUCAAACUCUGCUUCAGAUGGGAAGCCGCAUUCUGGUCUUGCCUGAUCAUUGAUAAGGCACAAGGUUGGAGUGACCACUGUCGGUACAAAGCACACUCAGCCGGAACCUCUCCAAGGUACUUGGGGGCCAGAAACCUGGUGGCGGGGGGAGGUGAGGGUGUGUCUGUGGAGGUG